GUCUCUAGUUCUCAGAGGUGCAGGUGCCUUUUCCUUGUUCUUAGUUGCACUGCGCAUACAAUGUGAUGCCCUGGAGAGGAGACGAAUUCAGAUGCUUAAAAUGAAAGAAGCCAAGAAGGUCGUUAUAAUUGAACCCCCUGCGAGUGUCCCGUCCAAGCAAUCAGGACGAUCAGACAAAAAGAAGUCCACUCGCAAGUCUCCGACCUUUAGGAACAGACCAGACUUCAGGAAGAAUAAAGGUCGCCAACUCAAUAAAACCACCAAGCAAAAGAAGUAA
rnacentral:lncRNA from 1 species